AGUGAACGCUGGCGGCAGGCCUAACACAUGCAAGUCGAACGGCAGCACCGUACUUGCUUGCUGUUCCGGGUGGCGAAUGGCGGGCGUGUGAGGAAAAUAUCCGAAUCUACACUUUCGUGGGGCAUCACGUAGGGAGAGCUACGACAAUAUAGCAUAUGCCCCACGGGUGUGAGCAGGGGAAAUUUGGAGCUUGUGCGAAUGAAUGCGCGGAUGUUGGAUUAGUUAGUUGGAGGGGUAAUGGCCAAGCAAGUGGAGGAUCGGUAGCUGGUCUGAGAGGAUGGUCAGCCACACUGGAACUGAGACACGGUCCAUACUCCUACGGGAGGCAGCAGUGGGCAAUAUUAGACAAUGGUCGCAAGCCUGAUCCAGCCAUACCGCGUGUGUUAAGGAGGCCUUCGGUGUGUAAAGCCCUUUUUUUGGGAAAGAAAAGCAUCAGGUUAAUACCCCGCUGUUCUGACGGUACCCAAUGAAUAAGCACCGGCUAACUUCGUG
rnacentral:rRNA from 1 species